rnacentral:rRNA from 1 species
AGUCAUAUGCUUGUCUCAAAGAUUUAAGCCAUGCAUGUCUAAGUACAUGCCGAAACUAAAGGCGAAACCGCGAAUGGCUCAUUAAAUCAGUUAUGGUUCCUUGGAUCGUACCUCACUACUUGGAUAACUGUGGCAAUUCUAGAGCUAAUACAUGCAGCAGAGCUCCGACCUUCGGGGACGAGCGCUUUUAUUAGACCAAAACCAAUCGGACCUCGCGUCCGCCAGGUGUGGUGACUCUGUAUAACUUUGGGCUGAUCGCACGGGCUCGUCCCGGCGACGUAUCUUUCAAGUGUCUGCCUUAUCAACUUUCGAUGGUAGGUCACGCGCCUACCAUGGUCGUAACGGGUGACGGGGAAUCAGGGUUCGAUUCCGGAGAGGGAGCCUGAGAAACGGCUACCACAUCCAAGGAAGGCAGCAGGCGCGCAAAUUACCCACUCCCAGAACGGGGAGGUAGUGACGAAAAAUAACGAUACGGGACUCUUUUGAGACCCCGUAAUCGGAAUGAGCACACUCUAAAUCCUUUAACGAGGAUCCAUUGGAGGGCAAGUCUGGUGCCAGCAGCUGCGGUAAUUCCAGCUCCAAUAGCGUAUAUUAAAGUUGUUGCGGUUAAAAAGCUCGUAGUUGGAUCUCAGUUCCGGUCGGGCGGUCCUCCUACCGGAGGCCACUGCCCGUUCCGAACAGCCGGCCGGNUUUUCCUCGAUGAUCUUCACCGGUUGUCUUGGGUGACCGGCAAGUUUACUUUGAAAAAAUUAGAGUGCUCAAAGCAGGCCGACACGCCUGGAUAAUGGUGCAUGGAAUAAUGGAAUAGGACCUCGGUUCUAUUUUGUUGGUUUUCGGAACACGAGGUAAUGAUUAAGAGGGACAGACGGGGGCAUUCGUAUUGCGACGCUAGAGG